AUCGCUUCUUGGCCUUUUGGCUAAGAUCAAGUGUAGUAUCUGUUCUUAUCAGUUUAAUAAAUCAAAACUCAGCACAAAACUGGAAAUAGCUACUUCAAGAGCACAA
rnacentral:snRNA from 1 species